rnacentral:rRNA from 1 species
CGACCGGCGCACGGGUGAGUAACACGUAUCCAACCUGCCGAUAACUCGGGGAUAGCCUUUCGAAAGAAAGAUUAAUACAAGAUGGCAUCAUGAGUCCGCAUGUUCACAUGAUUAAAGGUAUUCCGGUAGACGAUGGGGAUGCGUUCCGUUAGAUAGUAGGCGGGGUAACGGCCCACCUAGUCUUCGAUGGAUAGGGGUUCUGAGAGGAAGGUCCCCCACAUUGGAACUGAGACACGGUCCAA